UGGCAUAAUAUCCUUGCAUAUUUUCAAUGGAUUUUUUUGCCCCUCUCUUUUUAAUAGGCAUGCAUAUUAAUAGCUAGCAUUUCAAUAACAAAUGUUACCACUGAUAUUCAUCUUCUUAACAACCAAAGGCUACCACAAACUCGUUUUGCAGUUGGUUUAUCCCAAGUCCUGGAAUUCUAGGUUCUGUGAGUAACACUGUCUACAGUUUAAAAAAAGAAUAAUUUUCCCAUAACCUCGGAGGGCAUACAUCUCCCGGGUUAGCACACCGGAUUCAUUUUCAAACAAAGUGCUGUUUCGCCGGGAAUGAAAAAUAGGCCACAGCGGGAAUUUAAAUAGCGGCCAUCAAUAAAUAUCACCACUUUAGAUUGCAUUUAUCUUCCUUACUUAAUGCAUUUCCCAGUUGCCCGUCCCUGCCUGCUGACCUUUGCAGUGAGCCUCCUGAAACAGCAGAUACCACAAAACACUUUGUUUUGCACUCCAUUUAUUUAUGGACUGCGCCGACUGCAAGGGAAUGGAUUAAAAGAGCGGUGGAAAUGUCAGAUCGCUCGGUGGGAGCCUUCAAUCGCUCCGUAUGGGGCAGAGCCGGCCCUCAGCCAUUAGGCGCAGCAUUACUCUACAUAUUAAAUACCACCGACUCCCCGCUUCCGAAGCUGUUCCGUUUUUAAAAAAAUGAGCAAUAGCCGCGGAUCGAUUUGUAGCCUAUGUGGAGGAAUCUGACAACCUUUUCCGUUUCCUUUCUCAAAUACCGUAACAAAAAUGUAGCAUUUUGUAUCGUGAUAAAACAAUUGACCGAUUUGAAAAUAGGUGACCGGUGUUCGCUCAAAAGAUUCUUUCACCGGAGAAAAAAAGAAAAUGCUAUUUUCUAGUACCUUUUCAUGAAAACGUAGAAAACAAAGAUUCCUUGGGGGGCUUGAAUGGAGGAAACAUAAAAAAGCAAAACACGGUUUGUAGAAAAUCACAUUAUGAAAUGAAUGCACACAAUUACCUUGCUUGCAAAACAAUAUUUUUUAAAAAGCUUACAAAACAAACGCAUGACAACAGUUCUCUCCUUUAAUGUGUCAGCUGCUUGGGAAAAUUCCUUUGAUAUCAACGAGACGGCAUUCCCACAUAAUUGCAUUUGAUCAUGUUGUCACUCCCACAGGCACCGUCGUGCUCUGUGAUUUCACCCCUCCAAACAUUUGGAAACCAUCGCUAAUCCCGAAGUUGGUGGGAUCUCUCCCUCCCUUCUCCCCCUUUCCUGCAAAGUUCAAAAGAGAGCUAGACUGGGGGAAUGGAAUCAGAAAUCCCUUCUCAUUUAUCUGGAGAGGAAGAUAAGUCGGCGUUCCCCGAGGUUUCCAGGCUGUGCAAACAUAAAUCGUGCCUUGGAGGGACCGGCGUCUCGGGAGGGUGAGGAGGGAGGAUUCAUAGUCCCUACCCUCCCCAACAGCCCCGGCGCCUUCCCCUUUGAAGACAGUGAGAAAACACGCCCUGCCUGUACGUGUAAAGAAGCGGGCGUCGCCGAUCACGCCGUAGUUCCUGCCGCUAACGUGCUAGGAUGUCAGGGGGAGCCUUUGGCCAUCCGGGAGUACUCAGUACGCUGGGAUGGCACACCCAGCAGACACACUACGCUGGUGAGAGGUGACGCGCAGGACCUGUUCUCCUGGCGGCUUCAUUAGGUGCCCUCUCACGAUCUGCAGCCCCGUCCCCGAAAAGUCGCGGCGUUUAUCGAGACGCGCCGUCGCAUCACUAUUUGUUUUCAGCUCUGGGAAAGGGACAACGUAAAUACUCUGACAGAAAAAAUAAACGGCGUCUGCAGCUAUAGAGGUACGCGGGCGAAGAUAAACGUCGGAUGGAGACGGAAGAGUGUCCUUUAAAAU